UAACAAAAGUUACUGGUGGCUUGAAUGGG
rnacentral:piRNA from 1 species